AGCGAACGCUGGCGGCAUGCUUAACACAUGCAAGUCGCACGGAGGGGGCAACCCCUCAGUGGCGGACGGGUGAGUAACGCGUAGGUAUCUGUCCAUGGGUGGGGGAUAACAGCGGGAAACUGCUGCUAAUACCGCAUGACACCUGAGGGUCAAAGGCGCAAGUCGCCUGUGGAGGAGCCUGCGUCCGAUUAGCUUGUUGGUGGGGUAACGCCUACCAAGGCGAUGAUCGGUAGCUGGUCUGAGAGGAUGAUCAGCCACACGUGGGACUGAGACACGGCCAGACUCCUACGGGAGGCAGCAGGUGGGGAAUAUUGGACAA
rnacentral:rRNA from 1 species